GCCCUCGCCCCCGAUCCGUCAAAUCCCAAAGCAACCUUGUGGAAUCCCGCAGGGGCGUCCUUCGAGGACGCCUGCCGUCAUGCCGGCGUCACCAGCGGAACAGCGGCGAUCAUCGGCGGGCCCGGNGGUGUUCGAGAUGUUCAUGGAUCGCUACGACACAUUCUGGCUGUCGCAGGCGCACCGUUUGAAAAUUCCGGGCGGCACCGGCGGCUUCCCCGGCGUGCCGGCGCGCUCACCGCAGGAUAUUCUCGCCGCUCAUGGUCUCAAGCCAGCAGAGACCCGCGUUCUCGAUGCCGCG
rnacentral:misc_RNA from 1 species